UACGUAGGCAGCGAGCGUUGUUCGGAGUUACUGGGCGUAAAGGGUCCGUAGGCGGCCCUGUAAGUCAGCGGUGAAAUCUCCCGGCUCAACCGGGAAAUGGCCAUUGAUACUGCAGGGCUUGAAUUAUUGUGAAGUAACUAGAAUAUGUAGUGUAGCGGUGAAAUGCUUAGAGAUUACAUGGAAUACCAAUUGCGAAGGCAGGUUACUAACAAUGGAUUGACGCUGAUGGACGAAAGCGUGGGUAGCGAACAGG
rnacentral:rRNA from 1 species